GGCCCCGUAGUUCAAUGGAUAGAAUGUCAGAUUCCGGUUCUGUUGGUUGGGAGUUCGAGUCUCCCCGGGGUCA
rnacentral:tRNA from 1 species